ncrna:unclassified sequences S15-Halobacteria ribosomal protein leader
GUGGGAACAGCACAGUCGUAACUCUGACUCGCCCCGUUGNGGCUUGGGAUUGCGACAGUGC